rnacentral:tRNA from 1 species
GGGCCCUAGUAAAUUUAUUACGUAGCCCUGUCAGUGCUAAAUUAUAGGCCAGCCACCUAUGAGCCCCUAUGGC